AGCAAUAGGCGCGACUGGUGUCAUACAUGGGAAACCAUGAGGAAGCGCAAGCAAAUAAAAACCGCACACCUGGGUUGAAAAA
rnacentral:ncRNA from 25 species